rnacentral:ncRNA from 1 species
UGAGCGCAUGAAGGUCCUGGCUGAUAGGUGUGUGCAAGCCUACAAUGAGGCUGAGAAGCGCAAGGCCCUUGGGCGUCCUGGCAUCGACCCCAGGAUGGCUGCCAAGAAGAGGAAGAAGCCCGCUAUGGCCGAACCUGAAGCACCAAGGCAGGAGGCAGAUCCCCUUUCAUGAGCCUCUGUGAAAGGGGAUCUGCCUUGGCACCACCCUUUCAAUAGUUGGCACCACUCUUUGAAUAGCACCUCAUUUACUUUGCCAUUAACCUUUCCCUGUUAAUUGUUACAUGGUGUUGAUUGUUCGUGGCCAUGCAUGCGAGCGAUUCCCGCUAAUUGCUGCACAAAGCGCAUGCUAAUUGAUGGUGACCAUGCAACAUGCUAUAGCCCACUGUUAAUUUUGGUACAACAUGUGUGGCCUGAGGCAUGUGGGAGUGAGCACAAGGACUAAUUAGUGGUGUCAUUGGUCUUAGAAAAAAACGAUAUGCCCUCUAAUAUGAACUAUAUGAAGAAGGUGUUGUAUUUGGCAUUCAAGCAUUGGGUUUCCUUUUGGAUCUUGCUUGAUGAAAAGAGGAAAUUUCAUCGUGAUGGGGAUAGAUCAUUGCAAUUGUUGGUCUUCAAUGAGGAAUGCCUAGUAAGCGCGAGUCAUCAUCUCGCGUUGACUACAUCCCAACCCUUUGUACACACCGCACGUCUCUCCUAGUGAUUGAGUGGUCCGCUCAAGUGUUUGAAUCGCAAUGACGGGGGUGGUUCGCUGCCCCCAACGUCGCGAGAAGCCCAUUAAACCUUAUCAUUUAGAGGAAGGAGAAGUCAUAACAAGGUUUCCAUAGGUAUUGUCAUGA